rnacentral:piRNA from 1 species
CCAAGCCGUCUAUCAGUCUGACCGUGG